rnacentral:rRNA from 1 species
ACAGCAGUCGCCGCGGGAAUACGUAGGGUGCAAGCGUUAAUCGGAAUUACUGGGCGUAAAGCGUGCGCAGGCGGUUCGGAAAGAAAGAUGUGAAAUCCCAGGGCUCAACCUUGGAACUGCAUUUUUAACUACCGGACUAGAGUAUGUCAGAGGGAGGUGGAAUUCCACGUGUAGCAGUAAAAUGCGUAGAUAUGUGGAGGAACAUCAGUGGCGAAGGCGGCCAUCUGGGACAACACUGACGCUGAGGCACGAAAGCGUGGGGAGCAAACAGGAUUAGAUACCCGUGUAGUCCCUGUCUCUUAUAC